AUCUUUAACUCGUCAUGUUGCGGGAUUUUCAAAUUCGAAAAGAAGAAGAACAGCAUGAUUUUCGACUUGAAGAUGAUGGAUUCCCCAACAGAAAUCUUGAUGACGGAUCAAGGUGAAAAAAUUGAAGAAUUGCAUCAAUAGUUACAGAGAAUCGAUUUGCACGCAGAAACAGGUGCUCAAAGAUAAGGGAAUACAACAGCCAUCCAUGCUCCUUCCAUGUAAAGUAAGCAGCUGUCCGUGAUGCUUAUAGGCAUACACGAUCUAGUCUGGGCAUGUAAAACAGCAGCUGGUUCUAUUUUGAAGUAAGCUAUUUAGUAAUUACAUCA